CAGUCGCCACGGGAAUACGAAGGGUGCAAGCGUUACUCGGAAUUACUGGGCGUAAAGCGUGCGUAGGUGGUGGUUUAAGUCCGUUGUGAAAGCCCUGGACUCAACCUGGGAAUUGCAGUGGAUACUGGGUCACUAGAGUGUGGUAGAGGAUAGUGGAAUUUCCGGUGUAGCAGUGAAAUGCGUAGAGAUCGGAAGGAACAUCUGUGGCGAAGGCGACUAUCUGGGCCAACACUGACACUGAGGCACGAAAGCGUGGGGAGCAAACAGGAUUAGAUACCCGAGUAGUCCCUGUCUCUUAUAC
rnacentral:rRNA from 1 species